rnacentral:lncRNA from 1 species
CUAGUUUCAUUAACUGUUGGUUUCUGUAAAAUAAUCGAUCAUAUGAUUUUAAGGUACAACAAGAUUUCAAAAGUAUGGCUGCUAGUCCAAGAGAAGAUCCAGCAGCAUACUUUGAAAGCAACCUUGCUCUCAAAGUACUUCGUUAUUGUGUUGGCUAAGACAAAUCCCUUGACCUAACGCAGAACUUUGAAAAUUUCACCGCAGAUGCAACGAGUCACAAUGCGAUGCUAUGUUUGCUGGAGAUGCUACCUACCAUGGAAAGCAUCGGACAUCAGCUAAAAAUGCCCGCCAAUAUUUCAUCGACGAGAUAAAAAUCAGUGAUAAUUUGGAAGCAUACUUGGAAUCUUGCCAGCAAGAGAACAAAAAGCUUGAAAGGUUUCAGCCGUACAUUUUAAAAAUGGGUGCUACUGAGGAAGCAUCCUAUUACAUUAUCUGUGAUGGUCGUGCCUUGUUAGUGAAGCCAUCGAAAGCUGCCAAUUCUCUUUCAGAUUUAUUUUCAACGUUUUUUGUUUUUAAUGUCAGAUAUC